AGGUGCAGGGGGCAGUUUGGGUUCCCCAGGUUCCCUCACUCACUGCGCCUGGCCGCAGCCUCCAGAUUGUGAUGUGACAAAAGCUUAUGACAGGGGGGAGGCAGCCCCUGAGCCCCCUCCGCUGCAGAAGAUCAGGUGCCGGGACAGAGGGGCCGAGCACGUGACCUUGACCAUCUGGGCAAAUGAGCCCAGAGGUUUGGAAGAUGUUGACAUAAGCGCUCGGGGCGCCCCCUGCUCGCGGCCAUGGCUGACCGGCGCGGUCCACCUUCUCCCCUCAAGAAGCCGCUGUCACCCGUCGUUCAAGCGGUGACGGUUGAGCACAGUGUCAUGACUCUGAGUAAGAAUUGUAAAAAGUCCCAGGAGCCCGAAGACAGUUCCACAGAAUGGAAGCUGGUCAUAGAGGAGUGGAGCAGGAAGGAAAUGAGACACGAGUGCGAGCCUCUGAAAAGUAAGAAAAAGAAAAAGAAGAAAAAGAGAAAGAGUCGAACCUCAACCAAAAAGCACCACCACCAGCGCCGGGCCCGCAGGCAUGGCAACGUCCAG